CCUGCGGAGGGAUCAUUG
rnacentral:rRNA from 8 species